rnacentral:rRNA from 1 species
GACGAACGCUGGCGGCGUGCUUAACACAUGCAAGUCGAACGGAAAGGCCCUGCUUUUGUGGGGUGCUCGAGUGGCUAACGGUUGAGUAACACUUGAGUAACCUUCCCUUGACUUUGGUAUAACUUCAGUAAACUGGGGCUAAUACCGGAUAGGAGCUCCUGCUGCCUGGUGGGGGUUGGAAAUUUUCGGCGGUUGGGGAUGGACUCUCGGCUUCUCAGCUUGCUUGUGAGGUAUUGGCUUACCAAGGCUUUUUCGGGUAGCCAGCCUGAGAAGUUAAACGGCGACAGUGGUAAUGAGAUAUGGGCGAGACUGUUAGGGGAAGCAGAAGGGGGGAAUAAUGUACAAGGGGCGGAAGCCUGAUGCAGAAACGCCGCGUGCGGGAUGAAGGCCUAUGGGGGGUAAACCGCUUGCGCCUGUGACGAAGCGAGAGUGACGGUAAAGGGGAAAGAAGAACCGGAUAACUACGUG